UACGAAGGGGGCUAGCGUUGCUCGGAAUCACUGGGCGUAAAGCGCACGUAGGCGGCUUUUUAAGUCAGGGGUGAAAUCCUGGAGCUCAACUCCAGAACUGCCUUUGAUACUGGGAAGCUUGAGUUCGGGAGAGGUGAGUGGAACUGCGAGUGUAGAGGUGAAAUUCGUAGAUAUUCGCAAGAACACCAGUGGCGAAGGCGGCUCACUGGACUGGUAUUGACGCUGAGGUGCGAAAGCGUGGGGAGCAAACAGG
rnacentral:rRNA from 1 species